UAGAUUUGAGGGCGGUGUUGUAUAUUCUACAAUUCAUGGAACCUAAAACGUAAGUAAAAGCGACAUAAAAAUGAGCUGGAGGUGGGUGAAGGCGUACAAAAGCAUGUCAAAACGAAAGUAGAAGCAACAAGAUACAGCUUUGGAAGUUUUGUCAGCAGCAGCUUAAAUAAAGAGGCUAUAACAACUACAUAGAUAUGAGCUGCUGAAUUUGCACCAUGAACAACAAAAUACUACAUCUUUCUCAAGUGUUAUAUUGAUAGU